ACAUUUGGUAGAGGCUGUGCAGCCACCUGGUGCCAAUAGACCCCAGAGAACAACCACAUUCGCUGGUGCUGGAACAGGUCAUUAAGAGGGAAACCUGUUGCCAGAUGUG
rnacentral:rRNA from 1 species